rnacentral:ribozyme from 1 species
CCGCUGAAACAACCGUUUCCUUUCUUGACGACCACGGAGUACGAGGUAUGGACCCAACAAGUGGCGAAC